rnacentral:rRNA from 1 species
CACGUAGGCGGCCUGUUAAGUGUGGAGUGAAAUCCCACGGCUCACCCGUGGAACUGCUUCGCAUACUGGCAAGCUCGAGGACGGUAGGGGAGAGCGGAACUCUUGGUGGAGCGGUGAAAUGCGUAGAUAUCAAGAGGAACACCGAUGGCGAAGGCAGCUCUCUGGUCCGUUUCUGACGCUGAGGUGCGAAAGCUAGGGUAGCGAAC